UGACUAAGUUUUUAACAUGGAACCUUUCAAAACGCUGAUCCUGAAAGCCACCUGGAGUGGCCAGAAAGUCUAUUCUGUCACAGAGUGAGCAUCCAGCUUUGGGCAUACACGGACCUGACAGUUCUUGAUCAUUUUAUGCUGUUUAAAAUCAGUGUUCUGCUUUACAUAUAUCAGGUUAGCUGGUUAGUCGAUUGAUCCUGCUUUUUGAAUUUACCCCUCAGGUGAGUUGACGGUAGGAGAGAUUUUAAAUACUCCUUCCAAGUCCUAAUUGACAACUCUCAAUCCAGAGAUACCAACAGUGUACACAACUCUGCCACCAACACUCCAGUCACCAGCUCGGUGGCCAUCACCUCGGCUGUCAACCGCACCGCCAAUGCCAGCAACCCGGUCACCAUCGCUGCUCAGAUGAACAUCGCCACCAGCACAGUCAACAUCACCUCGCCAGUCAACCUGCAGCACCCGGUCACCAUCACUGGCCCCGUCAACCUGGCUUCAGUCAACAUCCCCACCACGGCUCACAUGAAUAUUGCCCACCCAGUCGCCAUCACCACCCCCAUGCCGAUGAAUAUUACAGGCCCGCUCAACAUCGCCAUGAGGCCCAUGGAGAGCAUGCCUUUUCUGUCCCAAGUCUUGCCUUCCUCCCCUCCUUGGUAGAGUUUCUACUCCACAUGUAGCAGUUGAUCAUGUUUUUACUGCCUGCAAAAAGGAGGGACUUGUCAAAUGUCAAGUUCCAUCAAAAUGAGCUGAUAGUCUAGUCAACCUUUUUUCCUUUUUUUUCCUUCUUCAGCAAAUGUAAUACAAGCACAUUUCAAUAGAGCGCACACCUCUGCCAGUAGAGGACUAAACUGGUGACACCAUUGUUAUCUCUUCUAAUGACAGAGGAGCAACGUUAUCUGUAGGAUUUAUGGAUGCUUCAAGGUUUGUUAUGGACAAAAGGAAAACCUCUGACAGAUAUAAAGCAAUAAGACGAUAUGAAACAGGGCCAGGUCACCAACAAAACGGAAUCAGUUCUUCCCUGACCAAACAGGCCUUUUUGAGGUUUGUUGUCUGCAGAUGGAUAUGGGAGUGGGGUUAAUGUCUUCAGGUUGCCAGUGUGUUGGAAGGCCAACAGUCUAGUCCUUAAUUGGUCUCAAGUGCAUUCAUUUGGACUCCGAAAACAAAGCCUGCAGAUGGCAAGAACAUGCCCACUCCACGCAGAAUAUGUCAGGGAGAAGAAGGCAACAGCGCUAACCUGUAAGUUGCCAUAUUUCACAGUUACCGUCUCAAUCGCCAAAAAUGGCAGUACACAUUGCAUAAUGCUUUCUUCUGUGUCUAUAGUGGGUUGGUUUUGUGCAUUUUGAAGGUUUGUAGAAAAGUAGUUUUAUGCCAAAGAUUUUAGUGGAAAAUGAGGGAAACCCUUUACGUCAGCAGACCAUCAUAGGAAAAAACCUACAUUCUCCUAAAGAUAGUGAAAUAGUAAAAAGCUCCUCGUUGCCACUACAGCAGCACCAUAUGGCUCUGGUCGUGUCAGGUGCCAAAUAAGCCUGGAUACUGAUGAUUUAUGUGCUGGUAGAACACUAAUUAUAGGCACUUUGCUAUUACAGGGAGUACAUCUUGAAUCUAGACUUUCCCAGCUUCCAGGAACCAGUUCCAGCUGCGAGCUCAGGUUCUGCUUAUGCUGUAAAAGCACUA